rnacentral:tRNA from 1 species
GCCUUGUUGGCUAAGUGGUAUAGCGCCUCACUAGUAAUGAGGAGAUCGGGUGUUCGAUUCACCUGUUCGAUU